UGCAGUGAAAAACAUUGAGAUUAGUGACUAGUGUGGCACCUUGCUCACAAUUCCCAUGGGGGCACGUUGAUUGAAUGUCACGCACGUAGCAAAGCGCAACGCACUUUCUUCAUGUCAACGAAAACGGGAAGAAAUUGAAUUCAUAAGAGCUCGUGCACAUUACCCUGAUGCCAUAGGCAGAUCCGUAGCCACAUGGGGAGAACCAGAGGAGCACCGACAAGUUGUCAUUGAUGGUUGCCGGCUUCCUACAGCGAAACCUUGCGACAUGCUCCUCCCGCUAGCCAUCUUGACAGUGCUCUUGGUCCAGUUCUUGGAAACAUCAGAAGGAUGGGUAUACACGCAUGUUGUUUCCCUUACUAGCGACGGAAGGUGCAUUUUCAAUGGCAGACGACUUGACAAGGACAUAGAGUACAGCUUUCAUUCUCCUUGCGAACGCUGGGAAUGUUCGUACCAUGACAUCAAUCAUGGCUUCUUACAACAAGAAACCUGCCAAGUAGAACGGCCGAAGCCAUAUCCCUGCCGACUAAGAAAGGGUAAGGGUCGAUACCCGAGGUGUUGCCCACGUAAUGUCUGCGAUGGAUCGCCUGAGAAUGACAGCGCAUAUGACUGAAAGAAUCAACCACGGGCCUUUCGUAUAAGCCCCACCUUUACUGACAGAGUGACACGGCCGGGAAGAAAAAUAAAGACUAAAAACUAA